rnacentral:rRNA from 1 species
UACGUAGGCAGCAAGCGUUGUUCGGAGUUACUGGGCGUAAAGGGUGCGUAGGCGGCUUGGUAAGUGAGGUGUGAAAUCCCUCGGCUCAACCGAGGAACUGCGCUUCAUACUGCAUGGCUUGAGGGAGACAGGGGUAAGCGGAACUGAUGGUGGAGCGGUGAAAUGCGUUGAUAUCAUCAGGAACACCGGUGGCGAAAGCGGCUUACUGGGUCUCUUCUGACGCUGAGGUACGAAAGCUAGGGGAGCGAACGGG